UAUGGCAGUUGUUUCUAUUUCAAAUGUCACCUUAGUUUUCCCUUAUUAAAAAGACUCAUGGGUAUGCCAGAUAUUUAGACAGUCUGUUUAAUAACUCACUGAGAAGGGCCUUUACAGUACUCCGUUUCCAAACCGUGCAGACAGCUUACUUAGAUGGCUGAUAUACUGACGUGGAGAAACAUAACUGUCGCUGUCCAUGCAGCUCAGGCUAUAUCAAAGGAGGCUGUAAAGAAGAUGUUACAGAACUGAACAGGAAAGGUAAAACAACGACACAGAGAACCAGUAAGGAGUAUUUGCAUACAGAGCAAGAGAACGAGAGCAUUCCAGCAACUGUCAUGGAUGGAAAGAAGAAACUGAGGAGGUGGAGGGUCGGCAGGUGUCUAUAUACUACACCAUGAAGGCGCCACUCCAGGGGGUACCAGAAUCGACUGGAUGGAUACAACUAGGGGAAAAACUUCGAGUGAUGGUGCACAUGACGUGCAUGCAACUAUAUUGGAAUAGACAUGAGGAAGCACUUGAAGAAGAUUAGGGUAUCCACAUUCAAGUUUCCUGCAGUUUUUACAUAGUUUUGUGACUGUGUAUUUAUGACCGUUGAAAAACCUAUUCUAAUGACUGUGUGUAACAAAAACUGGUUAUUGUAGCGACAAUGCUGUCUUAACAGCACACUUUAAAUAAAAGAGCAAGUAUGCAUCUAUUGUUAUCUAGCAAGAAAGGUUCCAAAUUAGCUUGACAAUUUCCGCUUCUAACAUUUUGCAUUUAUUUAGGAAGAAUUUUCUCAGGACAACCCUCAGGUUAUUCUAAAAGCUACUGGAUUAGACUAACUGAUUUAUUCAGGACAGAUGGUAUGAAGAGGCAACUAGCCAAUCCUGACUGGGGCAUUUGAGUGCUACCGUCAUAUGAAACAAAAACCCAACAUCAUCAAAAAUUGCUCUACUGUGCAAUGAGUCCGACUGUUCAUUUUAGAGGGAAUAUUGCUUGUAUUUGGCUUAUUACAGAUUUAUUAAAACUGAUUGAUAAAAGCUACUACUAUCUGUACAAAAGUGGUAUGUAUAAUUUCCCCUUCUUAGUGGGUUUUAAAUAUUUGUUUAAUUGGAUAUUUUCACUGUUAUAAAAGGAAGAUCAAUUACAUGAAUCUGAAAACAUGUUUUGUGACCUCUGAAAAUUAGUGACUCAUCUAUGGUUUUUUAGCCAAGGAAAUUCAGGCAGUGUUUUCCAUAAAUAAGCCGACAGAUUUCCCUGCUUAGAACACAAGUGCCAAAGGCCCACUAUCUAACAUUAACAUUUAUUUUCUUAUAUUAAAACAUUUACUUUCAGGAAGGCAAAACAUCCAAGGCCAGUUCACAAUGUAUUUGUGUAGCACACAUGCUAGAACCAUGUUAAAAACGGAAAGUACCAAAUCCACAAGGAAGAGAGGAAGGAAGGAAGAAGAGAAAUAAUGGAUAUUAGAGAAGUAAAAAACAGGACGAGAGAGUGGGUGGAUGGAGCAGGAAAGUCCCAAAGAAUCUUCAAUGAAAUAAAAAGAUUGCAUUGUGAAAUUUUAAUUUCUUCUCACUGCGUAUCUGUCCAGGGGUAUCUUAUAGAAAUUGGGGUAGGAUAUUUGAUGACUAACAAAAAUGUGCCAUGUUACUGGUCAGAAACUGCGUAGCAAGAAAUAAUCCAUUGAUACUAUGGAAUGCUAAAGAGGACAGUGGCCUUAACCAAAUGAUGCUUAGCACAAACCUUGGAAGUUUUUCUGGAAAUCAACUUUCAAAGUUAACGUUAUGAGAGAAGACAUAACACACCGAUUAAAUUCAUUGAAAUAAACUGAUUUGUAUCAAUUCA